AGAGGCUCUCUGCGCCGGGGUGGGGAGAAGCGGGAUCUUCACAGCUUUGUAAUGGGAAGACCCACCCUAAUCUGUUCUGAACUUGCAUGAAAAUGGAAGAAACACCUGUUAUUACGCCUCUCCACGCUUCAGUUUCUUCAGCAGUACUCCAGAGACGAUGAUUUGUAAGUGGAAAAAACUGAAAUCUCUACAGCCAGUGUAAGCCUGCCAACCUUUGCCUCCACUGAGUGCCCAGGAGAAUCAAAUGGAUCUGAUCCAGGCUUACAGUCAUAUCUCGAUUCAUCAUCUCUUCUCCUUCAAGAAAUAGUUUCCUACUACUAUUUAAGCAAAUCUUUGCAGAUUCGUGCUGGGUUAUCUCGUGUGCCAAGAGGAUUCUUGAUGCUGUGCAGUAAAUUGCUAAGAUUACAUUCGUUAACAUCAUCACCAAUCUCAUCAGAAAAAUCUCUGUGGUAGCCUUGAAAACCAACAGCCUGCAAUCGCAGUGAAAACAAGAAGCCUGGAACCCACAGGAGGGAGCAGAAUGGGGCUGGAGUUGCUUCAAAGCCUCAUUUCCAGUGAAAUGUCAUUAUUUGACCUUUCUGGUGGUUCCCUUAAAGACUUGCAAGACUGUCUGUAUUUUACCUGACUCAGAGCUCACUCAAUGCAAAAAGUCUUUCCCAAGGAACAUUAAAAAAAAAUUUUAGAUGGAAUUGUUUAACUUUGUGGCUACUGGAAACAUUAGAAAACAGUUGGGGCAAACAAUAGGCUAAGAAAAGCUAGGGAAUGAGAUGUCCACAGAGAUUCUAAAAAACUCUGACACAUUCCUGGGAAUCUAGAAGGCCAUGUGCAUGUAUAGGGCUGUGCACAUGAUCAGGAAAAACACAAGAAGGCCCUAAGUUCUCUCUCUGGCUGACCUUUAGGCUCUGUGAAAAUAGGAAAUUAAAACUCGGGUAUAGUUGUCAAUUGCCUGGCUGAGCAUUGAAGGGAUGCUCCAACAUGCUCACAGAGACCCUUGGCAAAAACUGGGAGACUUACUGGUUCUGGCAUUUAAGGAAAUCUCUCUCCAAUCCUUAGCUGACCACUAAGCUAACUGAGUAGAGACUUUAGUGGUCACAUAUGUGAAAGAAUACAGACUUUAUACCUUUAGGAAAAGUCACUAAACAAACAACAAAAACAACAAAUAGCAACAAUAAACACUGAGGUUGGGGUGAAGAAUUUGACUUCCAGAGAUGCCAUUUUAUAUUAUUUAAAAUGUCCAGUUUUCAAGAAAAAAUGACAAGACAUGCUGAGUAACAUUAAAGUAUGACCCCUAUACAUGGGAAAAAGCUAAGCAAUCAAUAGAAAUAGAAAUUGUCCCUGAGGAAGCCCAGAUGUUGAACUUAGUAGACAAAACUUUAGCUAUUUUAGGUAUGUUCAAAGAACUAAAGUAAACCAUGUCUACAGAACUAAAGGAAAGUACAAAAAAGAUGUCUUACCAAAUAAAAAAUAUAAAGAGGAAAUUAUAGAAAAGAACCAAGUAGAAGUUUUGUAGUUGAACAAUAACUGAAAUCAAAAUUUACUAGAGAGGCUCAACUGUAGAUUUCAGUAGAUAGAAGAAAGAAUCAGUGAACCUGAAAACAGUUUAUUGAGAUUAUCCAGUCAGAGGCAUAUAAAGAAAAACGAAACAAAAUGAACAGGCUCAGAGACGUACAGGACAUCAUAAAACAUACCAAUGCAUGAAUGAUGGGAGUCUCAGAAGAGAAGAAGAGAGAAAUAGGGGUAGAAAGAAUAUUUCAAAAAAUAAUGGCUGAAAAUGUGCCAAAUUUGAUGAAAAACAUUAAUCUCCACAUCCAAGAAGCUCGAUGAAUUCCCCUAGACACAUCAUAAUCAAACUGUUGAAAGCUGAAGACAAAGAGAGAAUCCUGAAUGCAAAGAGAAGAGACUCAUCAAUCCAAGGGAUGAGAUUUUUUCAUCAAAAACCAUAAAGGUGAGAGGCAGUAGGAUGACAUAUUCAGAGUGCUGAAGGAAAAAGACUGUCAACCAAAAAUUCUAUAUCCAAUAAAACUAUCCUUCAAAAAGGAGGAAAUAAGACAUUCCCAGAUAAACAAAAGCUGAGGCAAUGUAUCAUUAGCAAACUUCCCUAGAAAAAUAAUAAAGGGAGUCCUUUGGACUGAAAUAAAGGAUACUAGGCAGAAACUUGAAUCCACAUGAAGAAAUAAAGAGCACUGGUAAAGAUAACUGUACAGGUAACUAUAAAAGAGAGUGUAGAUCCCAAACAGCCAAACAAUCUUGAAAAAGGACAGCAAACUUGGAGGUCUCACACUUCACUUUCAAAACUUACUACAAAGCUACAGUAAUCAAAACAGUGUGGUACUGGCAUACAGACAGACAUACAGACCAAUGGAAUAGAGUGCAGGAAUAAACCCUCACAUAUAUGGUUAAAUAAUUUUUUAGAAGGGUGCCAAGGCCAUUCCCUAAGGAAGGAAUAGUGUUGGGAAAAUUUGAUAUCCAUAUGCAAAAGAAUGAAGUUAGACUCUUACCUACAUCAUAAACAAAAAUUA